GACGAACGCUGGCGGCGUGCCUAAUACAUGCAAGUGGGACGCAAGAGAACACACUGUGCUUGCACACCGUGUUUUCUUGAGUCGCGAACGGGUGAGUAACGCGUAGGUAACCUUCCUAUUAGCGGGGGAUAACUAUUGGAAACGAUAGCUAAUACCGCAUAAUAUUAAUUAUUGCAUGAUAAUUGAUUGAAAGAUGCAAGCGCAUCACUAGUAGAUGGACCUGCGUUGUAUUAGCUAGUUGGUAAGGUAAGAGCUUACCAAGGCGACGAUACAUAGCCGACCUGAGAGGGUGAUCGGCCACACUGGGACUGAGACACGGCCCAGACUCCUACGGGAGGCAGCAGUAGGGAAUCUUCGGCAAUGGACGAAAGUCUGACCGAGCAACGCCGCGUGAGUGAAGAAGGUUUUCGGAUCGUAAAGCUCUGUUGUAAGUCAAGAACGUGUGUGAGAGUGGAAAGUUCACACAG
rnacentral:rRNA from 1 species